GAGUCGAUGCACCUCUGCGGUCACUUCUACUCGACCGAGUAAAUGCGCUUCUAACGGCCACUUUCACUCGGGAAAAAAUGAACUACGAAUGGCUUGAUCCUCAACCGAGGUACGUAAGCAGCCUUAACCGGUCCAGCUGUAACAAAACCAAAGUUAAAAUCUUGUUCUUUGUUUCGACUUCGAUCGAGUAAAUACCGAUU
rnacentral:lncRNA from 1 species